rnacentral:lncRNA from 1 species
CCUGGGCACACAUGAGGCCACGCCCAGCGCUCCUCCUCAGGCUCCCAGGCUCGGCUCCCCAGGGGCUUCUACCUCGGCCUCACCAGCAUGCCCAGGAGGGCUUGAGACAGUGCCGGAGAAGGCCACGCUGGGCGUCCUAGCAGGACUAGGGUCCGACUGAAACAGGGCAGGGGCCCAGAUGAGCAGGCAUGCUGAGAGACUGGAGGAACUGGGGUAAAAUCUCCCCAUGUCUUCAUUUCUUCAUUUGUCAACAUGGCAGCCUUGCCGGCGAGGAGGGAGAGGCACGGAGACCUCAGGAGAGGUGCUGCCGCACUCUCAGAGCCUCCUGGCCUUAUCUCUCCACGGGGUGUCAUGGCAGAUGAUCCCACAGGCCUCGCUCAGCUCCAGACAGCUCUGGACUUGGAUGUCUGAGUGAGCAGAAUGACUGGAAUGCAGAUCCCAGGGCCAAGGAGGGUCAGAAGUCCUUCACGGGACCCUGGCAUGGGCCACACAGAGAGAUAUGGGAGGGGCCCAGAGCCUCUGACCACGAGCAGGCUCAGCAGACAGUGAACCAGCAAGGAGGACACUGUCUGCCAUGUCCUGGACUGGCCUGUCACCCCCAGGCACUACACUUCUCCAGUGGCAUACCAGAAGUGCAAACCUCCAUUCCACAAGAAGAACUUCUUCAAAGGGUCUGAGGUGCUAGAUGGAUGGUGAGGAGGAAUUGAAACAUCAGUCCAUUCCCACUGGUACCAGCAUGGCAGUGCAGGAGAAGGAACCAGAAGGCAAGAGACCUUCCAGUGCCAGCUUCUCCGAGCUGUGGCCCAGGACGUGAGGACAGCAUUCUCCACAGAGCCUGCCUUGUGCGAAACGAAGAUGCGACUCCUUCCCAAGAUUCAACACAAUACCAAUCAGAAUCCAGCAAGUCAUAUUGUGGAUUUCAACAAACUGAUUCUAAAGCUUGUAUGGAAAAGCAAAACCCCCAGAAUAACCAACACAAUACUGAAGAAGAACAGAGUCAGAAGACUGACACUACCUGACUUCAAGACUUACUGUAAGUCUACAAUGAUCAAGGCAGUAUCAUACUGGUGAAAAAAACAGACAAGUUAAUGGAACAGAAAAGAGAGCCUAGAAAUAGACCCUCACAAACAGUCACGUGGCCUUUGACCAAGGAGCAAAGAUAAUUCAAUGGGUAAAAGACAGUUUUUGCUGCUGGAACAAUUAGACAUACACAGGCAAAAUCAAUGGAUCUAGACACAAGCUUGACACUCUUUGUAGGAAUUGUCUCAAAGUGGAUCACAGACUUAAUUGCAAAACUAUAGAGACUAUAUAGGACAAAAUCUAGGUAGUCUUGGGUUUGGUGAUGACUUUUUAGAUAUACCACCCAAAACAUGACUCAUAAAAGAAAAAAUGGCCUCAUUGGACUUUAAUAAAAUGAACAUUUUUGCUCUGUGAAAGACACUGUUAUGAAAAGGGAAAGACAAGUUAUAGCCUGGGAGAAAAUCUUUUCAAAACAUGUAUAUGAUGAAAAAUGUGUAUCUCAAAUAUACAAAUAAGUCUUAGGCUGGGGAGGUAUAUUAGUGGUAGAGCCCUUGCCUAGCAUCCACAAAGCCCUGGGUUCCAUCCCCACUAUCAAAACAACAUCCUACCAGUUUAAAGAUAGUGAAAUAUUGGAAUAACACCUAACCUCUCAAAAAAAGACACACAGGUGUCAAAUAUGUAGACAGAAAGAUAUUCAACAUCACAUGUCACUAAAGAAUUGCAAGUUAAAAUAGUGGUGGCUACCACUUCACUCUUAAAGUGGCUAAAACCCUAAACACUGACGAUACCAAAUGUUGAAGAGAAUGUGGAGUAACAGGAAUGCAAAUGGCACAGCCACUGUGGAAGAUUGUUUGGCAGUUUCUUAUAAAGCGAAAAGUUCAGGUAACCCUAAACAUAUAGGCUUACCACAUGAUCUAACAAUCAUACUCUUAGGUAUUUGUCAAAAUGAUUUGAAAGCGUUGCUAACACAAAAACCUAUGCACAAAUGUUAUAGCAGCUUCAUUCAUAGUUGCUUAUAAUUAGAAGCAACCAAGAUAUUCUACAAUAGGUGAAUAAAUAAACAAACUGUGGGAUGUAAAUACAAUGGACUCUUCAUCAAUAAAGAGAAAGAUGCCAUCAAGCCCCAAGAAAUCAUGGAAGAAACUUAGGAUUUCAAGAGGGGCCCGCCUGUUUGAGGAGACCAGAACUUGCUUUGUGGAAGAUGUUCUAUUGUUUCAGAAUGCACCAUUUGAGCUGACCCCUGAGCUCUGUUAAUACAAAGCAAAGACCGGCCUAUGUCUUGUUGAGUAUGAGAAAGCACUCUGGGACCCUACAGGAGAUCACUGACUCAUGAGAUGUUAACACCCGUUAGUAAUAUACAUUUAGUGAAUUGGUUGGAUUAUGUCUCCCAGGGUUGUUUUAUCUAGAAUGCUACCAUCUCCUAAUUUGGAAUCAGACUAUUCUAUGCCUGAAAUUCGUGUGUUCUUGCAAAGCUGUGUGUAUUACUCUGGGGUCAGUUGUUUGCAUCCGAUGAGGAGCUGCGUAGGGGACAGAAGGGCUCACUUCCUCAGUUUAGGCGGAAGCUCCCAGGCACAGCCCAACUAGGGCUGGGAGUUGG